GCUCUACGUGUGUUAACCAUUCUAAGUGACUCAUUCUUGGUGACUUCAAUAAAGAUGGUCACUUGCCAUGUGGCUGUUGAAAUAUUACCAGGGAUUCCCUGGUGGCUCAGGUGGUAAAGAGUCUGCCUGCAAUGCAGGAGACCCGGGUUCAAAUUCUGGGUCGGGAAGAUCCCCUGGAGAAGGGAAUGGCAGCCCACUCCAGUAUUCUUGCCUGGAGAAGCCCAUGGAAGGAGGAGCCUGGUGGUCUACAGUCCUUAAGGUCGCAUAGAGUGGGACACGACUCAGCAACUUCAUUUUCAUUUAAACAUGAAAAAGAAAUUGAGUAAGAACAUCUUUGAAGACUGAGUUUCAUUUCCAUUCUCCCUAUAGAAAGUGAAUUACAAAUACCUG
ensembl:lncRNA